UUCGUUUCUACUAUCUAUUGCAAUUGUGCAAUUAUAAUAAUAAUUAUUUCUAAAUCUUUGAUUUUGCUAAGUUCUCUCUUACAUUGAUUUGCUUUUCCGUUUGGGAUUUUGGAACUAGAAGGAGGAUGGGUCGGGUCGGGCCUUGAGAGUUGCAGUUUUGGAUUCUUUGAGAUUUUGCUCCUUCUGUAGUUCAACAGCCUCUGGUUAUAGCCUUAUCAGGUGAUUUUGUUCCACUUAAUAGACUCAAUAAUUGAAUAAUACUCUUUGGUGUUGCAAAUGCUUGAUGGUGGUUUUUCAAAUACAUGGAUUGCAUAUAGAAUAUUGUUAACUAUUCUGGUAACGGUAUCCUUCACCGAGAGAAGCUUUUCAAAGUUGAAAUUGAUAAAAUCAUAUCUUUGGUUCACCAAGUCGAAAGAAAGGUUAAAUGAGUUAGUUAUGUUGUCUAUUGAAAGUGAUUUGCGGAAAAUGUUGAUUAUACUAACAUAAUUAGUGAUUUUGCAUCUCAAUAUGCUAAACGAGUUAUAUUUAAGUAAUAUAUAUUUUUCAUAGAGUUAGACUUUUAAGAACUAUAUGACAAUCGCAACAAAAAAAUUUUAGUGGGUCCUUUUUUUACAGUGUGCCCAGAGCCCCCGUAGACUCAAGUACGCCACUGUUUAGAAUGCACAUUGCUUCUGGGGCCAUUUCUUUGUCUGCCCACCGCUUUGAAUCUUGUAUUUCCUUAGUGCCUAACAGCUAAGGAAGCUCUUACUUCACUGCGAGUCUAUUAUCUGGAAGGUAAUUCAUAACUCGUGAUUGCGAUUUUGAAUAGCAACAACAACAACUCUUUUGAAGUCACUUUUUAGGGGUCUCAAGCAUUAUCUUUUAUGUUAUUAUAGACAAGACUUUUUCUUUUUUCGCGUGGUAGAUAAAGUAUUUGACAAUUUGAUUAUGUAUACAUGUCUAUAUUUAUAUUGCUCGUCUAUAUAAUUUUUUUUUUCAUAAAUCAAGAUAUUCACAAAUAAUUUUACGUCUUUAAUAUAUUACCAUAUAUUUUUAAUAUAUAUUACCAUAUAUUUUUAAUACUUUUAGUCUUUUACGUUUUUGGCUUUUUACCAUAAAUAAACCUCACCUACCACAUUCCAUUGUAAUAUUGUAUGAUCCCCGUUCGUUCACCUUAACCUAGAAAUUAAAUCUGCUUUCAUUAGGAGAUUUUCAGAGUCGGUGGUCGCCGCAAGAACGUUCACCUUCCCGAGGAGAUCGCUUGCCAAGCACCGGCCUUUCCUGCCUGCGUGCAAUUUCGGGAUGGAAGACACUAGUUUGAGCGAGGGCGAGAGCGAGAGCAAAGACGACGAAGAAGAUGGAAAAUUCAAGAUCUUACAACAUCAGAUCAGUAAUCCACCAAAACCGUCCCCUCUCAGAAUUGGACAAAGGUCAGCCCGAAUAUGCCUAGUAUUUCCAUCCCGAUUCAGCAGCGUUAUUGCAGCCUCAAUGAUCCGCAUCAAUGAAUGCAGUGGAUGGUAUAUCAAUAUUAAGUGAUAAGACCAUCUGCCGUAGAGGAAUACUUGGAUAGAAGCUGCGGUGUGUUGGCUUGUCUUCCUUGCAGAAAGAGCCCUGAAUGGUGUACAUCGGCACAUGCUGUCGUUCUCCCUUUCUCCUUUACUUAAGUAACUCAAUAACAAGCGAGGGGGAGAAACAGAACUUCCAAGGUGGCAGUACUACCAGAUGCGGCACUUUAUUCGACAACCAUUAUGGGCCAAGGCCAGCGCAUAAAUGCAACUACGAUUGUCGCAACGAACGUGGGUGGCCGUGUAUUCUUGCUUAGUGAAGCAUAACAGCAAGCCAUGAAGAGAAUUGGGUUAAAACACAAAUGUGUCGGAGCUCAUAAUCAUCAGAUUAGUAAUCCACCAAAGAUAAUGCAGUACUGUGAAGCAGGAAUUUAAUAUACCUAAAUAUUGCGCGAGGCACAUGGCUAUCUUGUGUGUGCUGCUCCAUUGGGUAUGGCAACAUGUUUCAACUCUUCGGGGUCCACAAGAAUUGCUAUUCGAGGCAGCUUUCGAUGUUUCUUUCAGCUUUAUGGUUGCAGUAUCGGAGCUGUUGAGUCUUGCUUUGAGUCUAUUAGGAGAUUAUGCUUAAACCUCCAUUUUUUUCUCCACAAUAUUAGUUAUUUGUAUGUAAUAAAAAUAUGUUAAUAGACAAGUUAUGUGCACAGUGUGUGAUUAUCUUGUUUAUUAUUAAUUUUACAGUAUGGAUUAUCAUUCUGUUAACAUGGUAAAUUCUCCCA